AGUGAACGCUAGCGGUAGGCCUAACACAUGCAAGUCGAACGGCAGCACAGUAAGAGCUAGCUCUUACGGGUGGCGAGUGGCGGACGGGUGAGGAAUACAUCGGAAUCUACUUUUUCGUGGGGGAUAACGCAGGGAAACUUACGCUAAUACCGCAUACGACCUACGGGUGAAAGCAGGGGAUCUUCGGACCUUGCGCGAUUGAAUGAGCCGAUGUCGGAUUAGCUAGUUGGCGGGGUAAAGGCCCACCAAGGCGACGAUCCGUAGCUGGUCUGAGAGGAUGAUCAGCCACACUGGAACUGAGACACGGUCCAGACUCCUACGGGAGGCAGCAGUGGGGAAUAUUGGACAAUGGGCGCAAGCCUGAUCCAGCCAUACCGCGUGGGUGAAGAAGGCCUUCGGGUUGUAAAGCCCUUUUGUUGGGAAAGAAAAGCAGCAGGUUAAUACCCCGCUGUUCUGACGGUACCCAAAGAAUAAGCACCGGCUAACUUCGUG
rnacentral:rRNA from 1 species